rnacentral:lncRNA from 1 species
GUGUGGGGGUGUCAGUGAAGCCUCAUGCUGUAGCCCUGCCCUUUCCUGUGAGCCUUUUCCCAUGACACCUGGAAGCGGAUUCCCUGGGGCUUUUCUUUGGGGUCUCCAGCAUAGGUCGUGCCCAUUCAUAUUUGUUUAUGGAUCUCCCAGACUCCUCCAGAAUCCUCAUUCUCAGAGUCCAAGCCUGACUUCCUGGAAAGGUGUCCUGAAGCUCAGGUGAAACUCUCCUGAAGCUCAAGGCCACCUUGCUGUCUGCUGCCCUGAACUCCACGGACUCCAAGCUGUCUCCUCCUCACACAUUCCUGACCAUCUGCUGUUUUGCCUACAUACAGACCCCUGGGAAGAUGAGGAAAUCCAGAUCUGGAAUGGACAGUGUAUUGAGAACCUCCAAAGCCAGCAGGAGGUCCAGAGGGGGCAGGUGUCUUACAGAAGACAUGAACAGGCACUCAACAUAUGUUUCUUUAUUUAACCCUCAAGAACUCUGGAACAUCAGAUACACUUCAGCCAACUUCCAGCUACAAGCAAACUCAGUGUUCUCCCAAUGUUUCCACUGUGGGGUAAAGGCACUGGCAGUUUUAAAAGUCAAGAACCUUGGACUCAUCCUUGGCACCUCCCUCUCCCUCCCGAG